CUCUCUCUGACACCAUUGUACUGUAGGGGUGUGGCUGGCUGGCUGGCCAUGACAUGGAAGAAACAAGCAUAGGAACAGAAGGGAGUGUAAUUGAGCAGCGAAAGUGCUAACUUGUUGAGCAACUCAACAGAGUUGCCAUCCAACUCCUCAAGCUAAAUUUUAGCAAACUAUUAAGAAAAUUGCUCCAAAAGACUUGCUUGCUAUCUGACUUGCUAUCGUAUCUCGCUUGCCA
rnacentral:lncRNA from 1 species